rnacentral:rRNA from 1 species
UGGAUAACCUACCUAUAAGACUGGGAUAACUCGGGAAACCGGAGCUAAUACCGGAUAAUAUAUUGAACCGCAUGGUUCAAUGGUGAAAGACGGUUUUGCUGUCACUUAUAGAUGGAUCCGCGCCGCAUUAGCUAGUUGGUAAGGUAACGGCUUACCAAGGCAACGAUGCGUAGCCGACCUGAGAGGGUGAUCGGCCACACUGGAACUGAGACACGGGUCCAGACUCCUACGGGAGGCAGCAGGC